UACGUAGGGCGCAAGCGUUGUCCGGAAUUAUUGGGCGUAAAGAGCUCGUAGGCGGUCUGUUACGUCCGCUGUGAAAACCCGGGGCUUAACCCUGGGCUGGCAGUGGAUACGGGCAGACUAGAGGUAGGUAGGGGAGAAUGGAAUUCCCGGUGUAGCGGUGAAAUGCGCAGAUAUCGGGAGGAACACCGGUGGCGAAGGCGGUUCUCUGGGCCUUACCUGACGCUGAGGAGCGAAAGCGUGGGGAGCGAACAGG
rnacentral:rRNA from 1 species